AGCUCCAAUAGCGUAUAUUAAAGUUGUUGCAGUUAAAAAGCUCGUAGUUGGAUAUCUGGUGGGAGCAAUGGGUCUCGCGCUUAGCGCGGGUACUUCAAUUGACUCCGGCCAUCCUUGGGGAGAGCCCGUCUGGCAUUAGGUUGUCGGGCGGGGGAUCCCCAUCAUUUACUGUGAAAAAAUUAGAGUGUUCAAAGCAGGCUUAUGCCGCUGAAUAUAUUAGCAUGGAAUAAUAAGAUAGGACUUUGGUACUAUUUUGUUGGUUUGUGCACCAAAGUAAUGAUUAAUAGGAACAGUCGGGGGUAUUCAUAUUCCGUUGUCAGAGGUGAAAUUCUUGGAUUUACGGAAGAUGAACUACUGCGAAAGCAUUUACCAAGGAUGUUUUCAUUA
rnacentral:rRNA from 1 species